ACAUACUGUGAGCUCGAUGAGUAGGGCGGGACACGUGGUAUCCUGUCUGAAUAUGGGGGGACCAUCCUCCAAGGCUAAAUACUCCUGACUGACCGAUAGUGAACCAGUACCGUGAGGGAAAGGCGAAAAGAACCCCGGCGAGGGGAGUGAAAAAGAACCUGAAACCGUGUACGUACAAGCAGUGGGAGCACAGAGCAAUCUGUGUGACUGCGUACCUUUUGUAUAAUGGGUCAGCGACUUAUAUUCUGUAGCAAGGUUAACCGAAUAGGGGAGCCGAAGGGAAACCGAGUCUUAACUGGGCGUUAAGUUGCAGGGUAUAGACCCGAAACCCGGUGAUCUAGCCAUGGGCAGGUUGAAGGUUGGGUAACACUAACUGGAGGACCGAACCGACUAAUGUUGAAAAAUUAGCGGAUGACUUGUGGCUGGGGGUGAAAGGCCAAUCAAACCGGGAGAUAGCUGGUUCUCCCCGAAAGCUAUUUAGGUAGCGCCUCGUGAAUUCAUCUCCGGGGGUAGAGCACUGUUUCGGCAAGGGGGUCAUCCCGACUUACCAACCCGAUGCAAACUGCGAAUACCGGAGAAUGUUAUCACGGGAGACACACGGCGGGUGCUAACGUCCGUCGUGAAGAGGGAAACAACCCAGACCGCCAGCUAAGGUCCCAAAGUCAUGGUUAAGUGGGAAACGAUGUGGGAAGGCCCAGACAGCCAGGAUGUUGGCUUAGAAGCAGCCAUCAUUUAAAGAAAGCGUAAUAGCUCACUGGUCGAGUCGGCCUGCGCGGAAGAUGUAACGGGGCUAAACCAUGCACCGAAGCUGCGGCAGCGACGCUGAUGCGUUGUUGGGUAGGGGAGCGUUCUGUAAGCCUGUGAAGGUGUGCUGUGAGGCAUGCUGGAGGUAUCAGAAGUGCGAAUGCUGACAUAAGUAACGAUAAAGCGGGUGAAAAGCCCGCUCGCCGGAAGACCAAGGGUUCCUGUCCAACGUUAAUCGGGGCAGGGUGAGUCGACCCCUAAGGCGAGGCCGAAAGGCGUAGUCGAUGGGAAACAGGUUAAUAUUCCUGUACUUGGUGUUACUGCGAAGGGGGGACGGAGAAGGCUAUGUUGGCCGGGCGACGGUUGUCCCGGUUUAAGCGUGUAGGCUGGUUUUCCAGGCAAAUCCGGAAAAUCAAGGCUGAGGCGUGAUGACGAGGCACUACGGUGCUGAAGCAACAAAUGCCCUGCUUCCAGGAAAAGCCUCUAAGCAUCAGGUAACAUCAAAUCGUACCCCAAACCGACACAGGUGGUCAGGUAGAGAAUACCAAGGCGCUUGAGAGAACUCGGGUGAAGGAACUAGGCAAAAUGGUGCCGUAACUUCGGGAGAAGGCACGCUGAUAUGUAGGUGAAGUCCCUCGCGGAUGGAGCUGAAAUCAGUCGAAGAUACCAGCUGGCUGCAACUGUUUAUUAAAAACACAGCACUGUGCAAACACGAAAGUGGACGUAUACGGUGUGACGCCUGCCCGGUGCCGGAAGGUUAAUUGAUGGGGUCAGCGCAAGCGAAGCUCUUGAUCGAAGCCCCGGUAAACGGCGGCCGUAACUAUAACGGUCCUAAGGUAGCGAAAUUCCUUGUCGGGUAAGUUCCGACCUGCACGAAUGGCGUAAUGAUGGCCAGGCUGUCUCCACCCGAGACUCAGUGAAAUUGAACUCGCUGUGAAGAUGCAGUGUACCCGCGGCAAGACGGAAAGACCCCGUGAACCUUUACUAUAGCUUGACACUGAACAUUGAGCCUUGAUGUGUAGGAUAGGUGGGAGGCUUUGAAGUGUGGACGCCAGUCUGCAUGGAGCCGACCUUGAAAUACCACCCUUUAAUGUUUGAUGUUCUAACGUUGACCCGU
rnacentral:rRNA from 1 species